AUCCGGAAUUACUGGGCGUAAAGCGUCUGUAGGUGGUUUAGUAGGUCGAUUGUUAAAGCUUGAGGCUUAACUUCAAAACAGCAAUGGAAACUGCUAGACUUGAGUAUGGUAGAGGUAAAAGGAAUUUCCAGUGGAGCGGUGAAAUGCAUAGAUAUUGGAAAGAACACCGAUGGCGAAGGCAUUUUACUGGGCCAUAACUGACACUCAGAGACGAAAGCUAGGGUAGCAAAAGGGAUUAGAUACCCCUGUAGUCCUAGCCGUAAACGAUGGAUACUACAUGUUGUGCAUUAUGUACAGUAUGGUAGCUAACGCGUUAAGUAUCCCGCCUGGGGAGUACGCUCGCAAGGGUGAAACUCAAAGGAAUUGACGGAGGCCCGCACAAGCGGUGGAGCAUGUGGUUUAAUUCGAUGCAACGCGAAGAACCUUACCAGGACUUGACAUACUACAAAUUCUUUUGAGAAAAAGAAGUGCCUUCGGGAAUGUAGAUACAGGUGGUGCAUGGCUGUCGUCAGCUCGUGUCGUGAGAUGUUGGGUUAAGUCCCGCAACGAGCGCAACCCUCGUUUUUAGUUGCCAAUUUAUUGGGAUCUCUAGAAAGACUGCCGGUGACAAACCGGAGGAAGGUGAGGAUGACGUCAAGUCAGCAUGCCCCUUAUGUCCUGGGCCACACACGUGCUACAAUGGUAAAGACAAAGAGUCGCCAAUUCGCGAGAAUGAGCUAAUCUCAUAAACUUUAUCUAAGUUCGGAUUGUAGGCU
rnacentral:rRNA from 1 species